rnacentral:rRNA from 1 species
GACGUAGGGGGCCAGCGUUGUUCGGAUUUACUGGGCGUACAGGGAGCGUAGGCGGUUGGGUAAGCCCUUCGUGAAAUCUCCGGGCCUAACCCGGAAAGUGCGGAGGGGACUGCUCGGCUAGAGGAUGGGAGAGGAGCGCGGAAUUCCCGGUGUAGCGGUGAAAUGCGUAGAGAUCGGGAGGAAGGCCGGUGGCGAAGGCGGCGCUCUGGAACAUUUCUGACGCUGAGGCUCGAAAGCGUGGGGAGCAAACAGG